rnacentral:rRNA from 1 species
UGGGGAAUAUUGGGGCAAUGGGGCGCAAGCCUGACCCAGCAACGCCGCGUGAGGGAAGAAGGUUUUCGGAUUGUAAACCUCUGUCGCAGGGGACGAAGGAAGUGACGGUACCCUGUAAGAAAGCCCCGGCUAACUACGUGCCAGCAGCCGCGGUAAUACGGAGGGUGCAAGCGUUAAUCGGAAUAACUGGGCGUAAAGGGCAUGCAGGCGGUUUAUCAAGUAGGAUGUGAAAGCCCCGGGCUCAACCUGGGAAUUGCAUUCUAAACUGAUAGACUAGAGUAUUGCAGGGGGAGACGGAAUUCCAGGUGUAGCGGUGGAAUGCGUAGAUAUCUGGAAGAACACCAAAGGCGAAGGCAGUCUCCUGGGGCAAAUACUGACGCUCAUAUGCGAAAGCGUGGGUAGCAAACAGGAUUAGAUACCCUGGUAGU